CUGCAGGCUGAAACUCGCCUGCGCGAAGUUGGAAUUGCUAGUAAUCGCGGAUCAGCAUGCCGCGGUGAAUACGUUCCCGGGUCUUGUACACACCGCCCGUCACACCAUGGGAGCUGGUAACACCCGAAGUCAGUAGUCUAACCGCAAGGAGGACGCUGCCGAAGGUGGGAUUAGCGACUGGGGUGAAGUCGUAACAAGGUACC
rnacentral:rRNA from 1 species